rnacentral:rRNA from 1 species
GUAGCAAUACACUUGUAAAGCGGCGAACGGGUGAGGAAUACAUGGGUAAUCUACCAUCGAGUGGGGAAUAACCAGCCGAAAGGUUGGCUAAUACCGCGUACGCCUCCGGAUCUUCGGGUUCGGAGGGAAAGCCACACUGUGAGUGCGGCGCUCUUUGAUGAGCUCAUGUCCUAUCAGCUUGUUGGUAGGGUAACGGCCUACCAAGGCUUUGACGGGUAGCUGGUCUGAGAGGACGAUCAGCCACACUGGCACUGCGACACGGGGCCAGACUCCUACGGGAGGCAGCAGUAAGGAAUAUUGCGCAAUGGGCGAAAGCCUGACGCAGCGACGCCGCGUGGGGGAUGAAGGUCUUCGGAUUGUAAACCCCUUUCGGGAGGGAAGAUGGAGCGAGCAAUCGUUCGGACGGUACCUCCAGAAGCAGCCACGGCCAACUUCGUG